UCCUCGAUGGUCUAACGGUCAUGAUUUCCGCUUGUCACUCAGCAGAGAACGAGCGCGGGAGACCUGGGUUCGACUCCCAGUCGGGGAG
rnacentral:tRNA from 1 species